AGUCCUCACAGCCCUCGCUCGCUCUCGGCGCCUCCUCUGCCUGGGCUCCCACUUUGGCGGCACUUGAGGAGCCCUUCAGCCCACCGCUGCACUGUAGGAGCCCCUUUCUGAGCUGGCCAAGGCCGGAGCCGGCUCCCUCAGCUUGCAGGGAGGUGUGGAGGGAGAGGCGCGAGUGGGAACCGGGGCUGCGCCUGGCGCUUGCGGGCCAGCUGGAGUUCCAGGUGGGCGUGGGCUUGGCGGACCCCGCACUCGGAGCAGCCGGCCGGCCCUGCCGGCCCCGGGCAAUGAGGGGCUUAGCACCCGGGCCAGCGGCUGCGGAGGGUGUACGGGGUCCCCCAGCAGUGCCAGCCCACCGGCGCUGCGCUCGAUUUCUUACCGGGCCUUAGCUGCCUUCCCGCGGUGCAGGGCUCGGGACCUGCAGCCCGCCAUGCCUAAGCCUCCCACCGCCUCCAUGGGCUCCUGUGAGGCCCGAGCCUCCGCGAUGAGCGCCGCCCCCUGCUCCACGGCGCCCAGUCCCAUCGACCACCCAAGGGCUGAGAAGUGCAGGCGCAGGGCGCGGGACUGGCAGGCAGCUCCACCUGCAGCCCCCGUGCAGGAUCCACUGGGUGAAGCCAGCUGGACUCCUGAGUCUGGUGGGGACGUGGAGAAUCUUUGUGUCUAGCUCAGGGAUUGUAAACGCACCAAUCAGCGCCCUGUCAAAACAGACCACUCGGCUCUACCAAUCAGCAGGAUGUGGGUGGGACCAGGUAAGAGAAUAAAAGCAGGCUGCCUGAGCCAGCCGUGGCAACCUGAUCGGGGUCCCUUUCCAAGCUGUGGGACCUUUGUUCUUUCUCUGUUUGCAAUAAAUCUUGCUACUGCUCACUCUUUGGGUCCACACUGCUUUUAUGAGCUGUAACACUCACCUCGAAGGUCCGCAGCUUCACUCCUGAAGCCAGCGAGACCACGAGCCUACCGGGAGGAACGAACAAUUCCCGACGCGCUGCCUUAAGAGCUGUAACACUCACCGCGAAGGUCUGCAGCUUCACUCCUGAGCCAGCGAGACCACGAACCCACCAGAAGGAAAAAACUCCGAACACAUCUGAACAUCAGAAGGAACAAACUCCGGACACGCCGCCUUUAAGAACUGUAACGCUCACCGCGAGGGUCCGCGGCUUCAUUCUUGAAGUAAGUGAGACCAAGAACCCACCAGUUCCGGACACAAUUUCAAGUCCUCAGGUGCCAUCAAUAUUCUGAAAAUGGCAGUGAUUUUUAUUCAACCUGUAUAAGCCACUUUCACCAUGUACCUGGAAGCAACAUCCACAUCUUUUUCAGCAAUCUAGAUGCUGGGGACACAAGGUCCACCUUCCAGGAAUAUGGCCAUGACACCAGAAAUCACAAACAUGAUGAGAAUGGAAUGAUUGGGGAAGAAGUGCCAGAUGCUUCACUUGUAAAUGAAGACCCAGCCUCUGGGGAUGCAGAUACCACCUCCCUGAAGAAGCUGAAGAUCUGCAGAUAAGUGGAGUUCACCAAUGAUGAGGAGCAGGAUGGAGAAAGGAGGUAGGGAGAGUCAUCCAAGGUACAUGAGCAACAUGUUAAAAGAAUUGAACCAGAGUCCCGUGAAUAUCAGCACUGGGACCAGUUAGCAGAGGAAAAGGAAAGAAUAAAAGCGAAAACAAUGAAGAGUCAUAUGAUUACCAACUUUUCCUUUUUCAUAUAAAUUGAGUGUAUAUGGGUCUGGAACAACCUGAAUUUCCAUCAAGUCCUGGCUAACCUCAUUAUGUCCUAUGAAUACUUUUGACUAAUCCCACUUUACAUUAAUCUGUAUUGUGAAUGUGAAUAUUGAAUUAUAUUUCUUUGUAAUCCCAUUAUCCAAAAUCCAGUUCAGAGACUAUUAGUUACCGAUGUUCACUGUGAAGGAAAAAAAAAAAAAAAAGCUCAGAGGAUAAACAUGUGAUAUGGUUUGGCUGUGUCCCCACACAAAUAUCAUCUUGAAUUGUAGCUCCCAUAAUUCCCACGUGUUGUGGGAGGGACCCGGUGGGAGAUAAUUGUAUCAUGGGGGUGGUUCCCCCAUACUAUUCUCGUAGUAGUGAAUAAGUCUCACAAAAUCUGAUGGUUUUAUGAGGGAAAACCCCUUUCACUUGGUUCUCAUUCUCUUCUCUGGUCUGUCAUCAUGUAAGACAUGCCUUUCACCUUCUCCACCAUGAUUGUGAGGCCUCCCCAGCCACGUGGAACUGUGAGCCCAUUAAACCUCUUUCACUUAUAAAUUACCCAGUCUCUGGUAUAUCUUUAUCAGCAGCAUGAAAACAGACUAGUACAACAUGUUUGGAAAUGAUGUUCAGAAUUAAAUUUUCUUCUUGAAGAAUAAUAAUGUGCAGGAGUGUGUUGAAGAUUUUGAGAAUUCUCACAGCAAAGGAACUUGUUAAUUUUUUUAAUCCACCUACCUAAUAGAAUUAAUAUUUUAAGAGAAACAGC